rnacentral:misc_RNA from 1 species
GAUGAAGAACGUAGCGAAAUGCGAUACGUAAUGUGAAUUGCAGAAUUCAGUGAAUCAUCGAAUCUUUGAACGCACAUUGCGCCUGCCAGCACUCUGGCAGGCAUGCCUGUUCGAGCGUCAUUUCAACCAUCAAGCCCUAGGCUUGCGUUGGAGCCCUGCGGCUGCCGCAGGCCCCUAAAAGCAGUGGCGGGCUCGCUAUCACACCGAGUGCAGUAGAUUACUCUUCGCUCAGGGCGUGUGGCGGGUUCCAGCCGUGAAACCCCCUACUUCUCAAGGUUGACCUCGGAUCAGGUAGGAGUACCCGCUGAACUUAAGCAUAUCAAUAAGCGGAGGA